GUCCUCCCUGUGCAGACGCCGGAGCAGCGGCGGCGCGCACCCCCGCCCUCUCCCGUGACGCACGGAUGCCGGAGCGGCAGCGACAGGCGCGCUCAUCUCGUUGGGACUGGAGACCGGAGACUGGGGGGGGGGAGAAGAUCGCCCGGUUUGCGUUUAUCGUUGGAGCCUCAGAUCUGCGGGGGAACGAUGCGCAGACGGAGCCUCUCCGCGGGCAGCGCCACUUGAGAAGCUGCGGUCCUUCAUCCGCCGGGACACUUUUCUACUCUCGCCCCUUUCCUCCUCUUCUUGACAGGGAACCAGAACAGAAGGUUCCAGCGUUCACUCGGCUUCGUUUGACCCCAGUUUGAAGACAGAGCACUCGGGUUGGUUACUUGUCGCUUGGACACAAUGUGGAGGAGCGGGGUCCUCCUCCUCCUGCUGCCGGGGCUGCUGCUCCUGGCGGCCGCUGAACUCCAGCAGGAGACGGAGCCGCGGAGACUGCCACCCCCGGGAAAGUUGGAUUUCGGUUAUGUGCCCGCGGGACUAUACGAGACUCUGGCCCAUUACGAGCCGGGGCCGAUCGGGAUCCUGUUCGAAAUGGUGCACACGUUCCUGUACGCGGUGCAGCCCAACGCCUUCCCACAAGAUCUGAUCGUCAAACUGGCAAAGGACAAGUUUGGAGCCAUUCAGACGGAAUAUCAAAAGGCCAUCUACUACGAGAUAGGCUUCCUCGUGUGUGCGGCGGUGGGCCUGCUGUUCGCCGUCCUGAUCCCGUUAGCCGGCCUCUUCUUCUGCAUGUGCCGCUGCUGCGACAACUGCGGCGGCGAGAUGCACCAGCGCCAGAGGAAGAACGCCGACUGCCAGCGCGGCCUGCUGGGAACGCUGCUCUUCUCCACCUCACUGGUCAUCACGAUCGGCGUGCUGUGUGCGUACGCUGCCAAUCAGAACCUGAGCUCUCAGGUGAAGAACAUCCGCAGACUGGUCAACAGCAACAUGAGGGACCUGCACACGUUCGCCAACGACACGCCCAUGCAAAUUGAUUACCUGAUAUCGCAGUACGCCACGGCCAAGAAGAAAGUCAUCUACGACCUGAAUCAUAUAGGUCCUUUACUGGGUGGAAGGAUACACGGUCAGCUGGAUAAGGAGGUCCACCCGGCCCUGGACAGAGUGCUCAACAUGGCUGGAGCCAUGCGAGAAACCAAGGAGGCCCUGGAGAACGUCAGCGUGUCUCUGGAGGUUCUCCAGGAGGGGACGGGGAAGCUCAACUUCAACCUGAGCCUGGUCCGCACCAGCAUCAACCGCACGCUCAACGACCCCGGCUGCCACGACGAGCGCUCCGACGCCACCACCGCCCAGCUCUGCCGCAACAUCCGCCAGUCGCUGUCCCAGCUGCAGAUCAGCGCCAACUUCUCACGGCUGCCCCGUGUGAACACUCAGCUGGAAAAGAUGAACGAGGUAUUGAGGACGGACCUCAGCACCAUCGUGCAGAGGGGCUUCUCCUCUCUGAACGACACGCCUCACAUGGUGGUAGAACAGACCAGAAGUGUUGUGGAGAGUGUACAGAGCCUGGUGGACGGCAUCGGCCACAACAUCAGCAGCUUCUCCAAGGCGUUCCCAGUGCAGAACUUCCUGUCCAACUUCACCAUCUUCAUCAGCCACACCCAUGCUAAGAUCGAGGACCAAUAUCCUGAGAUUGACAAAAUGGACUUCUACAGGUGGAUCGGCUGCAUUGGUCUGUGCUGCAUGGUGGUCCUGGUCCUGGCCUUCAACUACCUGGGCCUGCUGUGCGGCACUCUGGGAUACGACAAGCACGCCUCGCCCACGACCCGGGGCUGCAUCUCCAACACGGGAGGGACCAUGCUCAUGGCCGGCGUGGGAUUCAGCUUCAUCUUCUCCUGGGUACUGAUGGGCCUGGUGACCACCAUGUUCCUGGCCGGAGGGAACGUUGAAAAGCUUGUUUGUGACCCUUUCCACAGCAAGGAGCUCUUCAAGGUCGUGGACACCCCGUACCUGGUCAACCCCGAGUGGAAGAACUUCAUCCCGGGCUACAUGUACAACGACUCCGAGCUGGAGCUGACAGCAGAGACGUUAUACAGCACGUGCAAGGAGAACAAAGGCAUCUACUUGGCCAUGCGUCUGGACAAAGUCUUCAACAUCUCAACUUUCCUUAACACUACAGUGUUCACUAAGGAUGUGGUGAGUCAGCUGGAGAGCGUCAAGAUCGACCUGCGAGGAAUAAUCCUGUUAGAGGCGGAGGGGAAGCAGAACCUGCUGGAUUUCUCUGAGGCAGGACUGGCAGAGAUCAACUACGCCGACUAUCUGGAAGAGGUGAAUAAAGGAGUGACUGUGGUCGACCUGCUGUCUUUCGCCCGGGAUCUGGAGGCUCAGACCGACCUCAUGCCCCGAGGCCCUCUGCAGUCGGCUCUGAAGGGCCACAGCGGCACACUGCGACAGAUCCACACUCAGCAGAUCACCCCCAUGGAGCAGGCCAUGAAAUAUGUUAGAGCGAGGGGAGCAUUGAACCAGAGUAUGAGGUUCCUGGAGAGAACGGCCUCAGAUCUAUCAAACAAAAUCUUGGAGGUUCUCGACGCCAUCGAAGCCGCCCAGCAACUCAUCUCCCAGAAUGCAACACAAUUAAUCAGUCGGGAAACAGGAAGAUACACAACGACCAUUGUUGGCUACUUCCAUCAAUACAUAGAAUGGGUCAAGACGUCCCUGGCCCUGGAGGUCGCGCCCUGCAAACCCUUCAGCAACAUGCUUGACACGGCGGAAAUCUUAACUUGUAGUUUCUUGGUGGACUCUAUGAACACCUUCUGGAUGGGCCUGGGCUGCAGUACCCUCUUCCUGCUGCCGAGCAUCAUCCUGGCUGUGAAACUGGCCAAGUUCUAUCGCAGGAUGGAAACAGAGGAUGUUUACGACGACAUUGAGACAAUUCCCAUGAAAACUAUGGAAAUUGGUAAUAAUGGUUAUCAUAGUGAGCGUUCACAAGGUAUCCCAAACCCUGUGAUGACAAGCAUCCCAACCUAUGACACUAUGAACAGGUUCCCGCGGGCCUCGGCUCCUCCGAGGCACAUCGACUGGUGACGAAGAGACGACUCUUCUUCAGCUUGUUUUAGUUCUGCUCACAGCGACUUUACAGGAGAACCAGCAUGUGCCCUCGAAAACUGGAACUAAAAAACCACGUUUCACGAUCCCUCGGACCAGACGAAGCUCACUGAAAGCUGGUUUCCUUACGGACGGAGGAACAAAACAAAGCCGUGCAGGUUUCUACAGCGAUCACCUCAACCGGACUGAUCACAGCCUUCAGUACGUUUAAUGUACCUGCUCUCCAACGUCCCCCCCAACCACCCCAGCCCCCAGCCCCUACUUUAAGAGAUUCUAACUGCCGGACCUGAAUCCAUCUGAGCCAGGCUUGCUCUGCAUUUUUUUUAAAAGGAACUCUGUGUCUGCGUUUACAUUUGUUCGAACACAAAACCAAGCUGUUGACACACUGGGCAAGAGGACAUGACAGUAGAGGUGAUGCCUGUUGGUUUUUAUGUACUUGUUUGUGCUCAGUGGCUCCUGAAGGUCACUGAAGUCCUGAAGGUCACGAAAACGGAUGGAUCAUGUUCGACAGAAAUGUGAAAGGGAGGAGAAAAGGUGCAAAUAGUCAUGAAAUUCAAUGAAAACUAGUUUUAAUGAAAAUGAAAGAUCUUUUUUUUAACCGCAGGCUGUAUGAGUGGCGACAUAUAUAAAGACAGGAUGUUGACUGGUGAAUAGUGGGGGGAAAACUAUGGAGGGAAUUUUAGCAUGACUUAUAAAAAUGUUUACAAUAUUACGAAACAUCUAGAGUUUGACUUGUAUGCUGGUUUUGGAGCAAUUUGCAAAUGACUGGUUGCCUUUCAGAAGUUUGUUUCACCCUUUUGAAAUAUGCUCCGUUAGUGAAGUGGGAAAAUCCAACUUCUUACACUGUUAAAAAAUUACCUACCCAUGGUUUAGUGUUUAAAUUUAAUUAUUUUACUGCUAAUCAAGUGAAUUUUUUACAGAUAUCAAACAGUGGCUCCUGAUUAAAUUUAGAUUCAUAAUUAAGAAAUGUGUAAUUGCAGCCCAUCUCCACAGGUUGGACAGUAAAUGUAUUUUUAGUAGUUUAACCAAAUAAUAAUUCUCCUUGCACAGAUACGAAAAAUCACAUAAAUUAGGGAAAUCAGAUGACAGAAUUUUAGGAUAUUGUAAUCUACAGAUACAGAUUAUAGAUUUUAUAUGUGGUUCUUAUUUCAUUGUUAAGUUUUCAAAAAUACACCACAAAACAACACAAUUAUUCAGAAAAUAUAACGUACAUUUACAAAUAGUGUUGUUUUUUUAACAGUGUAAGUACUUAAGGUGGAUUUUCCCUUUAAAUCCCACAAUAGACGCAAAGCAUCCCAUAAUGAGAGUGUGAGGUUUUUAGAUUGUUCCCUAGGUGAUGGAUUGAUUAACUAAACAAACCAUCGCACCAUCGUAUUUCGCUAACAGGACAUUUGUACCGAGAUCUUUUCUUGCUUUCUUAGUGGUGUUACUUUUACUGUCAAGCCAAAUCCUCCUUUUUUUUUACUAUAGGUCUCAGGUCAGUAGUGAACUAUCAGUCACAUGCUAGGUUUGUUUUUCUGCUUUUUAAAACUCCCACAGUAGCUAUGGAUACAUUUGAAAAAAAUCUACGGAACACAUUGAAUGUAUUCAGGAGCUAUUUUCUAUUUUUUAUCGCUGUUUGCUGAAAUCUGUCUUUAACCUAUCGGGCCAGUUUAUCUCCUCCGCCUCGCCUCCAUGUUUACAACGUAGAGUUGCAGAAGCUGUCGACGUAGAAAAACUAGACAAUCCGCUCAUGGAACAAAGUCUGCACUGCCAAUCAAACAUUAGAAGAAUGCCAUGGUUCAUACGAUUGAAGGUAUCGAUGCACACAGUGAAAAAAAUUAUGUCCAUCUUAACAUCGACAUUCACGAUUUUAAAUGCGUUGCCAUUAUUUGCAACAGCAGAAUUAACUUAACUAACCCAGAAUACCAAAUGUAAGAUACAGUAAUAUGACGUUAUUGUUUUAUUAACUUCUUAAUAAACUAAAGAGUGUUAGCAUGUUGAGUAAGAUUCAGUCUAAUCUCCGUAUUUGAGAAAGUGUUAACACCAAAUAAAUAUAUAUAUAUGAUCUAAAUCACUGAUUAGUUGAUUAACACUGAAAACUAGUUGAUAAUUUCACCUCUUGUACCUUAUGAAUAUAUAUAAAAAAAUAUAAUUACAUUUUGAUGAAUCCCAGAACUCAGCUGUAGCCACACUAACACGAUCUUAAAUAGGACAUUACCAAUUAAUCUUGUGUAUUAAGAAUUGAACGUACAUUGUGGAAACUUUGCCAUUAUUUAUCGUAUGGGGGACAGAGUUAUUAUACAUCUGGCAACUCUGCGAAGAUUCAACAAGAAAUUCCUACUCAUCUGUUGUUGGAGGCAAAUUGCAAAUGAGGGCAUUGCCUUUCAAAGUCAUCAUUACAUGAAUAACACUUAAUUUUACGUUAUAUUUGCUAAUAUAAACAACAGCAGAAUAGUAGAAAAUCUGAUUUUAAGUUGAUUAAAUGUUACCAGCUUUAUCAACCUUUUCUGAUGGUUCACAAUAAAAUAAACUAUGCUCUCAUGAAUCCCAUUGUGGUUAAUACCAUUCUAGUCAUGCUAACUUGCUGCUCACUGUUGUACAUAAGCCUAGUUGAUAAAAGCCCAUAUACUGCAAACAGUAUUAUAUUGAACUUCCCACUGUUCGGAUAAAGUUCCUCCACUUAGUGAUGCAUGAUUGAAACAUCGGCAUCAGACAUUUUUAAUCCCAAUAACCAAUUGAACUGUUAAGAUGGAUAUUCUUAGAAGCAUCUGUGUGCAACUUUGAAAGUUUCUUGUCUGCUGGCGUCUGGAUGUGACCCAACCACGAGAGAAAAGGGUUUAUGAAUUUACUAAGUGCUUAAAGUAGAUUUUGUGCGUCCCAGCCCUGGAUGUAUGCUGGCAGGACAGAUGCACAGUGGUCACUGGUCUGAGCUGUGGUGCUCCCACAGCUCGGGCCCAGAUGGAGCCACUGAAGAGGAACUUCUUAUGUGGUGGUGAAGAAAUGUGUAUAAAAUGUGAAUAAACUUCGGAUUUCA